rnacentral:rRNA from 1 species
AGCGAACGCUGGCGGCAGGCCUAAUACAUGCAAGUCGAGCGCGACCUUCGGGUGAGCGGCGGACGGGUGAGUAACGCGUGGGAAUGUGCCCUUUGGUACGGAACAACUGAGGGAAACUUCAGCUAAUACCGUAUGUGCCCUUCGGGGAAGAUUAUCGCCAUAGGAGCAGCCCGCGUUGGAUUAGUAGUUGGUGAGGUAAAGGCUCACCAACGCCUACGAUCCAUAGCUGGCUGAGAGGAUGAUCAGCCACACUGGGACUGAGACACGGCCCAGACUCCUACGGGAGGCAGCAGUCGGGAAUCUUGCGCAAUGGGCGAAAGCCUGACGCAGCCAACACCGUGUGAGCGACGAAGGCCUUCGGGUCGUAAGAC